rnacentral:rRNA from 1 species
UAUGUGGUUUAAUUCGAUGCAACGCGAAGAACCUUACCUGGUCUUGACAUCCCAGAGAUCCCUUGGAAACUUGGGAGUGCUUCCAUUAGGAAGAAUCUGGAGACAGGUGCUGCAUGGCUGUCGUCAGCUCGUGUCGUGAGAUGUUGGGUUAAGUCCCGCAACGAGCGCAACCCUUGCCUUUAGUUGCCAGCAGUUCGGCUGGGCACUCUAAAGGGACUGCCGGUGUUAAACCGGAGGAAGGUGGGGAUGACGUCAAGUCCUCAUGGCCUUUAUGACCAGGGCUACACACGUACUACAAUGGCCGAUACAAAGGGCAGCGACAUCGCGAGAUGAAGCCAAUCCCAUAAAUUCGGUCUCAGUCCGGAUUGGAGUCUGCAACUCGACUCCAUGAAGUUGGAAUCGCUAGUAAUCGUGGAUCAGCAUGCCACGGUGAAUACGUUCCCGGGCCUU